rnacentral:rRNA from 1 species
UACGGGGGGGGCAAGCGUUGUUCGGAAUUACUGGGCGUAAAGGGCUCGUAGGCGGCCAACUAAGUCAGACGUGAAAUCCCUCGGCUUAACCGGGGAACUGCGUCUGAUACUGGUUGGCUUGAAUCCGGGAGAGGGAUGUGGAAUUCCAGGUGUAGCGGUGAAAUGCGUAGAUAUCUGGAGGAACACCGGUGGCGAAGGCGGCAUCCUGGACCAACACUGACACUGAGGAGCGAAAGCCAGGGGAGCAAACGGG